rnacentral:rRNA from 1 species
CCUACGGGUGGCAGCAGUAGGGAAUAUUGGGCAAUGGGCGCAAGCCUGACCCAGCCAUGCCGCGUGCAGGAGGAAGGCCCUCUGGGUUGUAAACUGCUUUUGGGAGGGGACAAAACACCGGUGCGCCGGGGAUUGAGUGUACCUCCAGAAUAAGCACCGGCUAACUCCGUGCCAGCAGCCGCGGUAAUACGGAGGGUGCGAGCGUUGUCCGGAUUUAUUGGGUUUAAAGGGUGCGUAGGCGGCCCCGUAAGUCUGCGGUGAAACCCACGGGCUCA